GGGACUGAGACACGGCCCAAACUCCUACGGGAGGCAGCAGUGGGGAAUCUUGCACAAUGGAGGAAACUCUGAUGCAGCGAUGCCGCGUGAGUGAAGAAGGCCUUUGGGUUGUAAAGCUCUUUCGUCGGGGAAGAAAAUGACUGUACCCGAAUAAGA
rnacentral:rRNA from 1 species